AGUCGAGCGGUAACAGGAGGUAGCUUGCUACUUUGCUGACGAGCGGCGGACGGGUGAGUAAUGCCUAGGAAUCUGCCUAGUAGUGGGGGAUAACGUUCGGAAACGGACGCUAAUACCGCAUACGUCCUACGGGAGAAAGUGGGGGAUCUUCGGACCUCACGCUAUUAGAUGAGCCUAGGUCGGAUUAGCUAGUUGGUGAGGUAAUGGCUCACCAAGGCGACGAUCCGUAACUGGUCUGAGAGGAUGAUCAGUCACACUGGAACUGAGACACGGUCCAGACUCCUACGGGAGGCAGCAGUGGGGAAUAUUGGACAAUGGGCGAAAGCCUGAUCCAGCCAUGCCGCGUGUGUGAAGAAGGUCUUCGGAUUGUAAAGCACUUUAAGUUGGGAGGAAGGGCAGUAAAUUAAUACUUUGCUGUUUUGACGUUACCGACAGAAUAAGCACCGGCUAACUCUGUGCCAGCAGCCGCGGUAAUACAGAGGGUGCAAGCGUUAAUCGGAAUUACUGGGCGUAAAGCGCGCGUAGGCGGUUUGUUAAGUUGGAUGUGAAAGCCCCGGGCUCAACCUGGGAACUGCAUCCAAAACUGGCAAGCUAGAGUACAGUAGAGGGUGGUGGAAUUUCCUGUGUA
rnacentral:rRNA from 1 species